GAGUUUUUGCAGAUUUUCAAAUAAAACUCAGAGAUUCCUUGUAUGACUCUCUCUAGUCUCUCUUUUGUGGUAUUUCUGGAUCCUUACCAAGGCAGUAUUGGUAUAUGCCUUCUCUCAAAGUAUGUGGUAUUUUUGGUAUAAGGCAUAGUGACAUUGCCUUCUCUCUCACCCUACUCUAAUAAGGCUUUUGAUAUCUGGAGCUCAUAGGUGGGAGACAACUAAUACAUACUUACAAGACAUUUAUUGCAUAGUCAAACCAUGGAUCCAGAAGAACAAGUCAAUAAGUCAAAUCAAGAUGUGCAUGUGUGGCGAAUGAAUGGUGUAUGGUGAUGAUGGUGAUAACAAUGGUGGAAGUCUAAUUCUACUUAUGCUCUUUUGAGGGGAUACAUACCUUUCUUGCUCUUUUGAAACUUUUUGAGGAGAAUGAGAUGCUCUAUAUUUUCUUUUUCUUUUCUCUCAGGUGGGUAUCUUGUACCCCUAAUUCUACUGUCGGACACUUGUCCAUUUUUACCUCUCGUCUCACUUUUUCUUUCUUUCGAGGUUCCGGGCACUUGCCCCUUUUUAUUUCCUCGCAUUCUUUCUUUUUUUUAGAGCACUCAUCUCCUGAAAUAAUAUAGCAAGUGGUAGUAACCAAGAUAACUUGAGCAUUUUUUUCACAGGGAAAAACAGAAAUAGGAGAAUGUUUUUGGCUAUUCUCUCCCGGAUUAGGAGUAGAAUAUUUUUGGGUGGUUCUGGAGAUGGAAAUGGAUGGAUAUAUGUGGAUGGUACUUCUGGAGUAGAAGUAGCAUGUGUGAGUGAACGUGCAAGUGAAUCUUGAUUUAACCACAUGACAAGCUCCUAAGGGUCUACACAGCUUGACCACACUCAAUGCUCAUAGGCAGUAAAAAGUAAAUGUGUGGUUCAUAGUCUAACAAGCAUGUAUAUAUGGCUGUGGUAGGAAUUUAAACUCUCAUCAUACAGGAACUCAUCAUGCAACAUUUUAAAGAUUUUCAAAGAUAAAAUUCUCCAGAAUUCUAGCAUCUCUAGGAACAGAUAAACAGUAGCUCAACCUUCCCAUAUCGUAUCCGUUAACGACUUAGACUUUAGAUCAAGUACUCUCCCCACAAGUUCAGGUUUAGAACAAAUCUUAAUUAAUAACAGUCAUGCCUAAACUUGAGAGAGAUUUCAAUUUUGAGAACUAGUCAUGGCAGAGCAACUAUUCAUCAUUUCCAUGUGAGAGCUUAUCAUGAGGGUUCAUAGCAAACUUUAUUUAUUUAUCUAUUUAGCAAACUAAGCAAAGAUAUAUAUAUAUAUAUAUAUAAGCACAAAAUCUUUAUUUGGGUUUUUAUGAUUAUGCAUCUUUUUAUUAUUUGAGUAAAGUAUAAAGAUGAGUAGAACACUUAGCUGGAUAAAUGGGGAUGCUCUCCCCAAGCUGGAUUUUGACAUAAUUUCUUCUGAUGUAGCUAGCAGGUGGCGGAGGUGUAUUUGAAUGUCAGCAGCACCCUGACAGCGAUUAGGAUGUCCUUCGUCUGCUAGUCUUCUUUGAUCCUUGAAUUCUCUUGGCAAGGCGUGCGGUGUUUUUAAAUCCUCCGAACGGGAGUCGUCCUGGGAUUCGCUGGAUGGCGUAGUCGGUGGUUCCGGCGGUGCCUCCUCUUCAUGUAUAACUAUCUUCUCUCUGCACACCUGACUCGGUGCUACGGUCAUCUCAGGAUAGUUCUGUUCAAGUUGUUUGUCUUCAGACCUUACCACUUCUCCUUCAUAGUCCACCCAUCCGUCCUUGAUAAUUUGCCUCCUCUGGUUGCGGUUGCGUCGUCUUCUUCUUGUCCUGACCUGCUUAGAGUCUUCAACUACAUAGUUAGGGUCAGUAAAACAGUGGCGUACCUUUUCUAAGGGGAAGUGCAUGUGGACUUCUCUAGUUCCAAUGUAUAUGAUUGCUUUAACGGUGCUGAGGAACGGUCUUCCAAGGAUGAUGGUUGGAUCGUACUCGUCUUCUACCAUGUCAAUAACCUAAAAAUCUUCAACCUUUUGGAAUGUCUGAUCUGCUAUCUGAAGCUGAAUGUAUGUCGGUUCUAGAGGCAUGGUUCCGAAUAGGAGCUGAUAGGUGACUGGGUCGUCCUUUUUGGUCAGGGACGGUGACUUAAGUCGACGAUCUUGACCUCCUUGAACUGCAGUGACCAUCUUAGCUGACUCGGUCCACAUUUGCUUGUUCCUGUUCCCCCUGUUGAUCCUCUUCCUUGGUUCAUGUCGGGAUUGCUUUGAGAUUUGUGUAGUCUUGUUCUUGAAGUAAAACGUCUCCUUCCUCCCCUUGAUGUAGAAACUGAUCUUGGCAGCACUAGCGUAGAUGACAGCUCCCGAAGUGUUCAGGAAUGGCCUCCCUAGGAUGGGUGCCUCUCAUCAGUACCAGUCUCUAUCACCACAAAGUCCUGGGCAUAAUGUUGAUGCUGGAGCCAAAGUCGCAGAGUGCUUCUAGGAAGUCCACCAUGUCGAUGGAGAUCGGGAUGACAGGGCGUCCUGGGUUGUCUCUCUUGACCGGCAGAAGGUCAGUAAUUACUUCCACUAUAGGGUUACUCCAGUAGUUAUGUCCUCAAGCAUCUCAGGGCAGUGAUUGCCUGAGUGUCCAGUAUCUCCAGUGUGUGUGUGCUCAUAUAUCUAGGUUCUUCACUUGGUGGAGUCUGGGAGUUGUAAAACUCCUUCAUAUUUUGCUCAAAGUGUACCUACUCAUAGAGACAAGGCAGAGAUCAAGUGCAUGGGCCCUGUUGGUGGAAAACACCAACAGAACCAAAAGUGUAUUUGUUCUUCUCUAACCUCAAGCAUAGUGAGCAAGACAAAGUUGAUGGAUAAUAAAAUCAUGAGUGUAGUAUUUAACAUUUGUCAGAUUAGAUUGCUCAACCUUAUGGAAAGAUAAUCUAUCUAUAUAUAUGUUUUGUUUAUAUCUUCCAAAGAUUGAGUGUGCAACAUUUUAGCUAAUAUGAUUAAGAGUGUGGGAUCACAAAGGUGGAAGGACUAAACAUAUUGAAUCGAUUGGGUUGGUUAAUCUAGAGUUGUAAAUCAUACAUGUUUGUCUCUUUUACUCAUGUGAAUGCCAGAACCAAGGAGAAGCUUAUAAAAGUGAUAGUCAAGUACUUUAAGAUGUUACCUUACUUGAAGAGUGAUGGUACAGUAUCACCUUGUGGAAGCUUUCCUCUCUUAGCGGUUGUGCAUUGUGUUUGUGGCACCCUCCAUGGAUCAUCUCUUGUGAGCUAUGCCUUCCUUGUGUAAAUUGUUAAACUUCAUGUGUGUCUCUCUUUGUCUCCAAUGUGAGUUUAUCUCAGGACUUCCCAGGUCGAUAUUGAAAGUUUUCCUGCAGGGGUUAGUCCAACAAAAUAUACCAAUGUCUACACAAGCAGUUUUUAGUUCAAUAACCAAACUAGACUCCAUGUCUAAUUAGAUUAAGGAAGGCUGUUUAACCUAAGCACCAUGCUUAAUUUAAAAACCAAUAGAAGUAUGUACAGUACUUCCAAACUAACACUUACUAGGAUAAACAAAGGUAGAGUGAUGGCUUUUAUAGAGAUCUACUCAAGUGGAGAUCAAGUAGUGUGAUUACUAUUUAACAAAUUGAGCAUGUCUCAAAGGUAGGGACAACCAACAUAGCAACAUGGCAAAUGAUGUUUUUAUAUAAAGUACUCCCCCAAGCUUGAAUUUUGCAAAAUUCAAGUUUGGAUGAAUUUAAUUCAAUGUUGUAUGAUGAUUGGUUGUACAUACCUUGUGCUUGUCAUUCAUCCGAUCUUCUUGCUCCAAUCCUAGAAAGGUUAGUGACAAGAAUACCCGAAGGAAUUUUUUUUACAAUUAUCCUUAUAUGCUCAAUACACAAGGUAGUGUUGCAAAUAAUUAAAAGCUUAUGUUACGAUCUGAUCGGUGCUUGUUUUAGGACACUAAGCUUGUCCUUGGGAAACCAUCAAUUUAUGUCGGCGAAGUGGUUUCCCCUCCAACGCUGACCUAUAUCAAGAUCAACUCAACGAGAUCUGCAAUAUUUAAUAUAGACAUAUGCAUCGACAACCGCCCUUUUAAAGUUUUUAUGAAUAGAAAGGAAGAGGGGGUUGGAGAUCUCGAAUGUGGUGAUGUUGGAGAAACCAAUGGAUUGUGAAGAUGUUGCAUAUGAGCAUGGAGUAAAUGAAGUGGCUAUGAAAUAAAUUCCAUGCUCAUUAAUGCUUAGAGUGAAAUCCAUGUGGUACGGUGAAAAUGAUAAGGUGAGUGUGGUAAAAAAGGAAAAGAAAAAGGAUACACGGACGACUUGGUUCGAAACUAGCACAGCUACCGUUCCCCGACAACGGCGCCAGAAAGCUUGUUGGGUAUUUUAAACGCAAACAGAAAAAUCGGCAAGCGCACGGAUACCGAUGUAGCUUUCACCCGGGAGUAUUCCAGAGUAUCGAUUUUCCACAGGGAACGUGAGUGUACUAAUUAAGAAUCAAGAUCGCCCAAGGAUAACUAUAUAAUUGUUUUUGGUGGGAAGAGAGGAAGUUUCAUGAGAGUUCUCUAGUUGAUCUAAGAAUAAAGAAUUACUUCAAGAUUAUCUAUAUCGGGACAUCAGAGCACUAACCACAGAAAGAGAUGAGAAGGGGGCUAGGAAGGUCUGAUUACGGUCCUACAAACACCGAUCCGAACAUGGUGGAAUACGUCGACCGUUAGGGCUGUCACUACCCUAAGGCUACCACAACAAUCCGCAGGAUUGGGUGCAAUUUCAGGUAAUUGCAAGACUAAACACCACGUCUAAUCUAUUAAUUACUACUCUAGCGUUAUAAAGACUAGAGCACUUGAUGCAAGCGGGAAUCCAAUAAAUAACUUGAAUGUAAAUAAAAGUAAUUAAAGAACUCAGGAAUUAUGAAUUGAAGAACCUAGAGAACGAUGAAGAACGAACCAGAUGCUGCAAAAGUAUAAUGUUGAGGAAGAUCCGACAGAUCCGGCUCCUCCUCCGCUCUCCUCUUCUCUCUCCCUAUUUUCUAGAUUACAACUAGAACUAGAACUAGAGGAACUAGAACUAGAACUAGAUGAACUAGAACUAGAUCUAGAUGAACUAGAGGUAGAACUAGAAGAACUAGAGAGAUCCUCUCUACUUGGAUGAAGAAUUGAAACCCUAACUUUGAUUCUGUAGAAGAGGUAUGAUCUCCAGGGGCUAGGGGGUCUGGUUUUAUAGUCCCUUCAAGUGAAUCUGGGCCGUCGGAUCAAACCGACAUUGAUCGUGUGGUUUUCCUUGAAGUAUUAGGUCGGUGGAGCGUUGUCCCCGAAUUGGACUCUGUUUGGUCCAGGGGGGAGGGCGGGCGCCCAGUAAGGUAGGGCGGGCGCCCAGUGCCAGAGCCCUCUCGGCCUCCGCUUCGGUCCCGUGGCUUCUGGAGUCUUCUAGAUGGUAGAUAAUUGUGCGGCACGUUAAUAUCUCUAUGUAAACCCGACGUGUGGGCCUUUCUUCCGUAUUUCCUGAUAACCCCCUGCAGAAAUAGACAAACACCAAAACUUGUGGAAUUCUGUCAGAUAAAACUCUAAGUCUAGGUGUUGGUUGCAUUUGGAUCCUUUUCUAUGAUUAGUUGAUGGUUAAAUGUGAGCAUUAAGGACCGUCAACACUACUCUUGUACCAUUUGUAAUUUGGAUGUGGAGGAAACCAUGUACCAUCUCUUUUUUAUCUGCCCCUUCAGUCAAGCGUGUUGGAACUUUGUUGGCAUCACGUGGAACUUGAACCUUCCCCACCUUGGCAUGAUCAUUGAUACAAGAAUUAGCUUUGGUAACCCAGUGUUCAUGGAAGUCUUGAUUACUGCCUGCCGGUCCAUUUGGUGCCACAGAAAUAACCUCAUCUUCGAUGGCAAGACCUGCUCGCUGGCUAACUGGAAAGCUCAUUUUAAGCAUGAAUUUGGAUUGAUUUGUAUCAAAUCCAAACCCAGCCGAAUAGAUUCCUUACUUUUAUGGCUCAAGAGUAUCUCCUAAAGUUGUUGUUCUUUUCUUUCUGAGCUUUGUUAGCUCUUUUAGCUCUUUUAGCACAGCUCGUGCUCUUGUACUUGUACUUGUACUUGUCUUUCUUUGUUGGUUUAAAUAAAAGAAAAAAAGAAAAAGAAAGGUGGGGGGUUUUUCCCCACUGUUUCCUCAAAAAAGAGACAAAUGGUUGUAUCUAUGUUUCUUUAAUUUGGCUGUGUUAGGCCUAGCUAAUAUUAAAAGGGAUGAUGUCAGAAGUCUAAGUUCUGGAACGGUAUUGAAGGACCGAAAGAAUUGGACAGGCAACCAGAAUGCGGUGAAUGAGAACCAAUCGAUAUUUAUUCCGAAAUGGCUGCUGUCCUAGAUAACCCUCCAAAGCACUAAAAACAUAUUCUUGGUGAUGACUAGAUAACACAACGGGAUAGUCAAUUCAGCAAAAAGGCAUGCCUAACACCGAAAUAUAGAAGAUAAGUUAGGCCUAAUGAAGUCUUGGUAUAUGUUGUGGGCUCCGGUGGUCCUAGGCCCAAGGAGCGUUGGCUCGUGUGUAUAGCGAGCUAUCUCAAGAGUACUCCAGUCUAUGACACUAGCAUUGAUUAGAAUGAUCUAUUCAGAUGUUUCCUAUGUUAUUCUAACUAUAUAGUCUAGCAUAUUAUGAUUAGUGCAAUUAUACUCGGCAAUCAUAGCGCGAGUAGGUCAUAUCUACACAUAUGGACAUUACUGAGGAAAAUCAGGAACAGAGUAAUCAUCUACCCAUAAUUAGUGUCUAUAGAAACUACAUUCGGAGGGUGGACUACAAAGGACUCAACGGGUAUAUCACCCCCGCGAUCUACCACACGACUCGGAAUAUAGUAUGCAAAUGCAGAUAAACACGAUAUAGGCACCACACCUACAUAAUGUCGACCACCCACCCAUCGUACUAAUGAGCAAGCGCUAUAAGAAAAUAUAUUUGAAUAUAAGUCUAAACCAACUAUGCCAAGCAUAUAAUCAGAAUAGACUAAGAACAAUAUAAUUAAGAAUAUAAGCAAGUAGAGCAAAGUCAUAUCCAAUAUAAGAGAAUAGAGCAAAGUCAUAUUUUACUAUAAGAUGAAAUAAUAUAUAUAAUGAUGAACUAGAACAAAGUAGAAGAAAGAUUACAAGAAUUACCGAGUAUCUCUCCGAUAGAUCUGGAAACCAAGCAACGCUUGCCUCCAACUAGAUCUAUUCUAUGUAGCUAUGCCUCUAAACUUGGAGCUCUAGAGAGGAGAAAGUAGAGAAUGAAUUCUAUGAAUAAGAUCAACUUCUAACUUGAACUGAUUCCUCUAACCCUAGGGUCUACCCCUCUUUAUAUAGGCCAGUGGGAUGAACCGUAGCCCUUGGAUCAAACCAACCUUAAUGGACGAAGAUUAGAGAUCCUCUAAGUCGGUUUAGGCCAUGAUCCGUGGCCUCUCUCGUGAUUGGAAAGGGAGAGGGCGGGCGCCCCCCUUGGCCGCCCUGACCCGGGGUCCGCUCGUGUUCCGCUUAGUUCUGGUGGCUUGCCGACUCUUCUAGAUCCUUCUUUUGAAUACGUGGCUAGAUAUCUCUUUUCUCUCUAUGUAAUCAUGACAUGUGGGCCUCCAAAAGUCAUUUCUUGAUAACCCCCUGCAGAAAUAGACAUUCACCAAAACCUUUGGAAAUCUGUCAGUUGAAACACUAUUCUAUUGUUGGUGAUUAUUUCUUGCCGUUAUUCCAUUCUCUUGUUGAUAUAAAAUUGAUACUUAUCUACCGUCAACAGUAGUGUGCCACUAACACUCAUUGUAACCUGUUCAUACCUUUUUCCAUAAGUCAUGCUAUAUGUUUCUAUAUUCUCUUUGGAGUCACACUUUAUCUUGUAGACCCAUUGUAGCCUACUAUUUUGGCUCCAUUAGGAACUUCUUCUAAGUCCCAAAAACCAUUGGUACUCAUCUCUUUAAUCUCAUCCUUCAUAGCUUUUUGCUAUUCGGAUGAGUGAUUGCUUCUCAUGACAUUCAAAUGAGAUGGGAUGAUUCUCUAUUUGAAUUUCUUUACUAGCGUAUACUUUAUAGUCAACAGAAAUGACUGACUUUUCUAAUGAGCACUUCUUUCAUAUGGGACUGUUGUUGCUCUUUCGUUGCCCAGAGGCAAUUGAUUCUAUAGGCUCCUGUAUCACAAGAUCCUUGUUUACAUUGUACAUCUUCUUUGAAGAGCCAACAACAGGUGUUGUAUAAGUCAUACAACAUCAACAUGGUAUUAAGCAAUUCAUCGAUCUUGAAUCAAUGGAGUGAGCACGUAGUCUCACUUCUCUUCAAGUCUUAGAUCUAUACAUACCAUGCUCCCUAGAUUACACCGUCUUUAGCUUUCUUAUUUGGGUUUAAUCUAUUGAAACUCCAUAUGGUGAUUUAAGAAUCUUUGUACUUUGUCUACUUAGGGGUAUCGUUAUUAUAACCGUUGUACUCCCUCAAUGAUAAUAUUCAUCAUUUAUAGAUCACCUUUAUUACUUUUACCCUCAAUGCAUACUAUAAAUUAGGGAAUGGGGAGUAUCUUUCAAGAGUAUCUUUCAAUCCUCCCCCUCAAAAUGUGGCAUGAACUUUAUUGACAUAAUUUUGAAACCACGAGUUACUCUUGACAAUGAGGAAACUUUGAAUGCUUACUCAUUCAUAGGAUUGUGUCAUGUAAAAUUGAGUUAUUUCUUAAAUCUUUUUAGGAGUACACUUUCCUCAUUUCACUUCAAGAACUCAACAGAGUCCUUCAGUACUUUUGCAAGUCGUACUUGCAUGUCAUUUUUUUCUUUUGGGUCAGAAGCAACGUUCUUUUCCCACAGUGCAGGAUGAGUACCAUGCCAAAACUUUUCCUGCCAUGCGAGAUAAUUCCCUAUAAGGGACAUAAAUGCCAGAACUGGCUUUUAGCAUUUUCAAUCAUCAAUUUUAGAAAUAAAUCCGAAAGCUCUUUAACAAACAUGUUUAAUUCAACUUUGGUCGAAAUUAAACAUGCAUAUAACUUUUACAACUCUCAUCGGUGAAACUAAAAAUAAAGUUGUUUUACAUAGAUGGUACAUAAAAGUUAAACUAAACUUUUGUUGCUCUAUAUUCUUUCUUGGACUAAUGUCCCUGAAUUCCUUUCUUUUCAAGCCAUUCUUUAAAGAGGAAACUAUUCCUUAUUUAAUGGCCCUUCUUUCAUGCAAACUUUCAUUUUUUAUCUUUUGAGUCAUAAGUACCCAACUCUUUUCUCACUACCUUCAAGAAUGAAAGCAUGGAGAUCAUUUUCUGAAACAUAUAAAACAAAAGAUCAAUAAUAAUGAGCAUGAAAAUAACCCUACAGUGGUCUGGUUAAAGACAUGCACAUUAAACUUUUAAAUCUUUCCUUUUAUAUUCUAAAUCACCUUUGGGUAGAAAUAGAAUAAGUCAUCAUUUUUCUACAUCAAUUCUAAAUCACCUUGAAUUAAUGCACAUAACUCAUAAACAAUGCCAUAACAUUGCUAUUUAACAACUUUUCUCAGAAAAGGAUAAUAUCAUAAUUUACAGAAUUCUAUUGACUUCUCUUCAAAAUAAAUUAUGACAUACAAUUAAUUCUCUUACACUAAUUCUACAUCACCUUUGGGCAGAAAUAUAAUUAAUGCAUGACAAUAAACAAUAAUAACAUCAUAAUAUUGCUAUUAAUCAACUUUGGUUAGAAUAAUAACAAUAUUAUAAUAAUCUAUAAUUUUAUUCAUUUUUCAAAAUUAAAUUCUCUCUUUGGUUCAAAUUAACAAUGAAAAAUAAAUAAAGAACUGCAAGUACGCAGCGGAAACUUUAAUAAUCUCUUGUAGUAGUAUUUUCUAGAAGCACUUUACUGUUCUCUGUACAAAAUACCGUUCGAUAAAAUGUGUAGAAAAUAAACAUCAACAAAUAACUUUAAAUUAGCUUAAAAAAAAACAAAUUACUUUAAAUUCUUUAAAAGGGGCGAAAACUGCUUCUAGAAAAAAUUAAAGUGGAAUUUUCUUUGUACCGUUGAAUUGGCCAAUUCAGCCCUCGGCCGAAACGACCUGGCCUAGAGGCAGCACUCUCGUGAGCGUGGGGCCCGUGAAAAUAGUAGCAGCGGCCCAGCCCACGCUGCAGCCAUCCUUUUAUUUCUUGCUUUACUUUUGUCCGGCAAAGUAGUGAAAAUGGCCCACGGCCCAUCUGCCUGUGCCCUCGCGCGGUGCACCUCCACACCCAGCACACGGCCCAGCACGCGCGGCCCAGCGAGGCGCUGGCGCCCACUUUUGCUCCUGAUGACCCAACACGCCACCUCGGCCCACCAAGGGUCGGCAGCCCGCUUGACUCGGUGGCCUUGAACUGGCAGUGGCAGUAGCGUGGCCUCCCGCGCUCAGGCUGCCACCUGUGCUUGGGCCGGGAAAGCUCACCCCCGCCUUGGCCGAAAGCUAGCCCAAACAUCUCAUCCAUCCAUUCUCAUCUGACGACCGAGCAUCAUUUUCGUUGGAACAAAACCCUAGAGCCAGCUGCCUCCCAGAACCCUAGCCAUUCUUUCCCUGCUUUUCUCUCUUAGUGCCUCAAGCAGCAAUACCGACGGCGGUGGCGCUGGUGGCGAAGGUGGCCGUCAACAUCGGUGAGGUUCCGCCGCCGGAGCUAGAGCAGAGCAAGUCCGGCCGCUUCCCCUCCUACUGGCUUUCUUUUGCUGCUAUCUUUCUCCCCUUCUCUCUCCACAUCACAGCCGAGACUAGGAGAGUCAUCCAUGGCGGCCAGAGAAAAGAGAGAAGGUGGUGGUGCCACCACGACACCCCUCGCCGGAGCACGCGUGCAGGUGAAGCAGUGCCCGGCGCUGUCGAGUGGCACCGUGGUGGUGCCCAUUUCAGCCUGAGCCUAUGAGGCACCAAGGUGCCGAUGAGCCCAGCGUCUCAGCCUUUUCUUCCCACACUACGGUGGUGUCCUUCCCGCAAGAUAGCGGUUCGUGUUUCGGCGAGAAGAACCCGUGAAGGUCCCUCCCCUGUCCUCUUCUUGCUAGGGUUAGGGUUAUGAUCGGAUUGGAUCGGGUCUCUCCCUUCUGUGUUAAUCUUUCUCGAAACCCUAAUCAAGGGUUAGGGUUUGGGCUAGGGUUGAGGUUUGUGUUCAUCUGAUUUGGAUUUCUUUGGUUUCUUUUCUUUUCUUCUAAUCCCGAUUUGGAUCCACACAGCUUGGUAGGCUCUGGUACCAUUGAUGGACUUGUGUGGAUCGACUAGGUGUAGAUCAGUAGGGAAUUUACUUCUAUUUAGGAUAAACAACGUAGAACUUCAUGGAUCUAGAGAGGAAGGGAGGACGAGAGGAUAGUAGCUGAACCAUACCUCUCCCUCUCGAUCGGUCUAGGAUUAGGUGGGGACUCGUGGUACUGUAGUGAUGAGCCUCGUGUCUCGUGCCUGCCCCCGCCCUCUCUUUUAUGCACUGUGCGAUGGGGGGCCACCAGCUAGUAGACGGCCGGACGUCCCCGAUCAAGACGUGGUCAAGGGGUCCGGCCUAGUUUUUGAACUUGGGUUGGUGGAGAUGAAUCUAACAUAAGGCACGACACGGCAUGCACACACACUGACUGCUACACCCAUGGCCUAGCCGACGGUGGUGGCAGCGCGCACGUGUGUGGCACGCCUUUGUACCUUCUCAACUUCUCAAUAUAGAUAGAUGAAUAAAAUUGGACCAUAUAAGUCAAGUUAAUAUUUUGUCGAUAUCCCGUAUGGUAUUAAUAUUCACUAUGUUAUGUUACGAACCAUAGAACUUAUUGAUUCAUUUAAUUUAAAAUGGCCCAAGCCCGUUAUAAUUCCAACAAUGUCGUAGCGUCUUUCUAAGUGUGUUGGUUGAGCCAGUUGGCUGCAGGUGAUGGUGUCUUGGUUGGUAGGUUAAGUUAUGUCGUGGGAAGUCGAAGCUGCUUUGUUGUUUUUACACAAAGCUCAACAGUGAUUGUGUGUUUGUAGUCAAGUGCUAGGCCGGCUAUUGUGCGGGUGUGUCAUGUCGUUGUAUGAACUUCUCUUAUUCUUAAUGGACUGGGAGCUCUGGUCUUUUGGUUCAAAAAAAUAUAUGUGUUGAUCUCAAAUUUUUACGAGUAGGGACUGCUUAUGGGGUCACUCUAUGGAAGGAGAGAUGGCUAGUUUGUUGGAUCGGCUAAACAGAGGGUUGAACGGUGAUAGUCGAUCGGGACGUGUUGGGCUAUGACAAGUUAAGAAAGAGAACGUGUCAGACUUCAUUACAGGAGAUUGGAGUCCAAGUUACCUUUUUAUUUCUAGGAGUCAUAUUUUAUUAGGACCUAUGAUUAAGUUUCCGGGUUAUAAAUACCAAAGACCCGAUCACUGUAAAGGAUAUCAAAUACAGACCUUUUUGUCUCCAGCCACGAACCUUAGGAGUACGAGUAAAAGUAGAUGUCGGCAAGACCUUUAACAAAUCGAGUUGCAUCGAUUGAUUUUGAUCAUCGGUUUGCUUGUAAGUAUUAUCAAGUUCACAUUUAGUUGCCCCGGCGACCUUCAACAAUUCGAGUUGCAUCGAUUGAUUUCGACCUUCGGUUUGCUUGUAAGUAUUAUCAAGUUCACAUUUAGUUGCCACGGCUGCAUCAUUUGAUCUCAUGUUUAACUUGAAUUGAACUAUUUAUUGGUUUAUAUCAUAUUUUUAAGGCUGUAUUGCUUCAAUCUCUUACAAAUAAUUGAUUUAUGCUAUUUAUCGGCUCUACCAGACCGACAAUUUGAUAGAUUCAUUAAGUUAUCAAUAUUGUUUGUACUUAAUAAUUUAUUUAUUAUAACAAUAUUUUGCCCACUCGAGAUGUGAUAGAUUAGAUUAAGCUUCAACUUUAUCAAUUCCAUGUCGAUCAAGGCUACACCAACUAGUUUAUCGAUCUCGAUUGUUACAUGUUGUGCGUUCGAGAUAUUUAUUUGAUCAUAGUUAAUCUAGAAUUGGAAUAAGAUUUAGCUUAAUAUUAUUUGUUAUCAGCUGUAUUUUGAACCCCACUGUCGAGUGCAUUAAGUUAAGCUUAACUAGAUCUCAAUUUGAUUAUGAUCAAAUAGAUAGAUCUUGUUCAUGCCUCAUGGACCCUGUAUCGGCUAAAUAGCCGAUCCAGUUAUACUUCAAUGAAUAGCGCAUGCAUGUUGAUUCGAUUAGAAUAUUGAAUAAACUAGUAGUGUGAGUUGAAUUUAUGGAAACCCGCUAGCCUUUAGACUAGGUGACACUACAAGAAAUGUGUCAUCUUAUGACAUCUAUGCCAUGACAUUUGACCAAAAUAUCACUAAAUCGACUAGUUUAUGACAUCUGUUUUGCAGCCAAUUCAACUUAGUGACAUUAAUUAAUGCACGUCAUAAAAAAGGUCAAAAUGGUAGUCGAAUGGUAUAUUGUGACAACAUUUGCCAUGUCAUAACACUAGUUAAAAAAAGCUCUAUGCUGGUUGUGGAUUUUUUAAGCUUUUCAAAUGACAUCGUUUGAAAAAACUACCAAAAUGAAAGUUGUAGAUCUCAAAAAGUUAUGAAACUUUAUAGUUGAUAAUUUUUUUCAUUUGAGAUCAUCUUGUCGUCGAAAACUACAUUUGAAUUUCUCAAAUUUAAAAUUCAAAUUUUGUAAAUGACAUUGGAUGGAGAAACUACUAAUAUAAAAGUUGUAGAUCUUGAGAAGUUAUCAAACGUUGUAGUUGACAACAUUUCAAUUUGAAUCCAUUUAGGGCUUCAAAUAAUCAAUGUAGGCUCGGUUUAGGAUAAUAUGUGGGGAACUAAACUCUAAUAUAAACGCAACUAAGCGAUGGAUGGAGUGGUAGAGGAGGCUAUGUGCGAUGACGAGGUCUUAGGUUGAAAUCGCAUUGGCGCACGAUUUUACACAAAAAAUGCAUGAUUAGGAGGCGUGUCUUUCGUUACUCGGGCGAUUAGCCUAGGUCUUCCCUGGGAUCAAAAUCUUUUUUAUUUAUUUUUCCCCCAUUUUCUACCAGCAGUAUCCUCCCGCUGCACCAAAAACCUAGGCGCGUGUCUUCCUGCUACACCUAAAUUUUAGUUGCGAAAUGAUAUGUUUGCCCAUACAUAUUCCAGAACUUCUUCAUUUAGGCCAAGGGUAGAAUGAUAAUCUUGCCACUGCAGUGACAUGUUAAAGCCUAGGCCAAAUCGGUUCAUCCCCUGCCGCAGCCAGUACACACUCCACGACCCUCUUCCUCCCUCGGAAGCCCAACACCCAUCCUCACUCCGGUGCUGCUCCACGACCACCUCGGUUGCGGAAGCCCCCGCUCGUCGCUGGCCCUCGAUCUACCUUCUGUUGCCCCCCCCUCCCACUCCGACGCUGCUCCACGCCCCCAUCGGUUGCUGAUCCGCCUCCCUCCCUCGGUUGUGGAAGCCCCCAACAUUGGCUGCCCUUGAUCUGCCUUCUACUCCCCCUCCCACUCUGACGUUGUUCCACGCCCCAUCGGUUGCGGAUCCGUGUCACAUCCAUCUCCGACGCUGCCCACCUGCUCCAACUAGGCCGUCUGCCCCACCGUGACAUCCAAAAUGGCUCCUGGUAAGAAGCAAAAGAACCGGAAGCCAACCAGCCCACCAAGAGGUAAGAUAGCUCCUGUUAUUUGUGUGAAUUCACUAUGACAUUUGCAAGCAGAUUGUGGCUGUUUGCGGACUUAACAGUUGUCACUAUUGUUGAUUACUACUGAUGCCGAGAUAGAAGUUGCAACUAGAACUAUCCUGCUGGUUCAUGAGUCAAGCCUUUUGUUAAUAGGUUUUGAUGGCAACUAGAGCCCUAUUUUAUACCUGUUCAAUAUAUUAUAUGAUGUGAAUCAACUUCAUUGAGUUAACCGGCAUAAUCUAUUAUUGAUUCUAGCUUUUAGAAUCAGAUUUGUAAGCUGAGUUAAAUAUUGAUCAGAAAAUAUCCAAACUAUAUUAUUGUUGCUGCAUUCAAACCUAUAAAAUUCAGAGAAGCUAUUUUAUUGCUGUUGACAGUCGAUAAUGUUAACUUUUAUUAUAACUUUAAACUUGAAGGAGAACAUGAAUACUGUUGUUGGUGCAAAAGCUGAUCUGCAAACACAAAGGGCUAAUACCCGAUUUAAACGUUAAGGUGUGCCAGCCGAUUUGACCUUACUAUCGGCAAGGAAGGUAACUCGAAUACUUUGGUCCCGACAACAGCGAUGCGCCCGGAUGUCACGGCCAAGAGCUACUCACGCGGAACUCGAGAACACGUCGAGCUUAAGUCGACGAACUCCUAAGAACUCGUAGUAAAAAGGAAAAUAUGACGAAGUCGUCGAAAAAGUAGAUGCUGGAAUAUGAGUAAAAACUUGUGUUUGAUUGAUUGAUAGAUGUCUCAUUACAAGGUCCUAGGGUCUACAUUUAUACCCUGUUCAAAGAGCUACAACCAGACACGACUAGAACUCGAAUUCCAAAUUACACAGAAUCCGUAUACAGAACGAUUUAAAUAACUAAAGAAAAUAUUAAAAUUAUCCCCCCUGGACAAACCGGAACACCUCUACAACCCGAUCGGCAAAUCCCAGGCUCUCCCCCUAUAUCAUCGGCAGACUCCCUUGUCGCAGCCAUCGGCACAGGCACAUCAUCAACUACGGACUUAGUCACGUUCAACCAUCCUUCCAUCGGCAACCAUCUCCAUCGGCAACUCACCCUAUACCGCCUUACUCUUGCCGAUCCACACCUUACCGAUCUUGGACACGUGCCGAAAAAACGGUGUCAACACAUGCCCCCCAAUAUCAGAGUAUGAAAUCAUUAAUGCUCCGAAAUUCUCUCCAGCAAUGAUGCCCCUUUUCCGCAAUUAAUGCUCCUAAUCUGGCAACCGACAGCCUUAAUCUGAACAACUCUGAUCCUAUCCUUCCGCAGAUCUCUCGAAAUCCUCAACUUCCCUAAACGGACAUUUCCAUUUUAGUCGCGCAUCGGCAAUAUUACCGUUACAGGGACUUGCCGAUGUACUAACCAAGACACCCGUAUCUUAUCUUUCCAAACGGCUAUCUUCACUUUAUUCGCUCAUCGGCAAUAUGACCGUUACAAUACACUGCCGAUGGACCGACCAGGAGAUCCCACACAGUAAAAUAUCUCUGGAUAAUGACCGCUUCCUGUCAAAUCGCCUGCACAAUCCCUUGAUUAUCGUGCGAACAGUUACCAUAUCUUCCUGAGUACCCUCGGAUUUCACGGAUACGGCGAAGAGAUAAGUCAAUUUUGCCCUUGCCCAUUUUGUCCUAUAAAUAAUUCCUUCUCGGGUACUCCUUCUCCAUCACAUCAUUCCACCACCCCAACUUCACUUUUCCAACGGCAGCGCCUUUCAAGGUCUCCAAGAUCCCAGACGAAACCUCUUCUUCACCAACUCCAGAGCCCUCGAUCGUCCUUCCGUGGCAAGAUGGCCGUCAACUUCAUUGUUCCGGAGGUCAGUUCUUCACUCCAUCUCCCGUACUUUUCUCGCAUCCCUGUUCAUCCGCAAUCCAUCUUACUGAAUAUUUCUUUUUUUCUUUGUUUCUCCUUCUCUACCUCCAAAACCACUAGGAAUUGUCCAACAAAAUUGUCAUUCCCACCGAUCAACCACAUCUCCAAUGCCUUGGUCUAUUAGGGGAUCCAGAUCCAACCAAUCUCAUUAACGCAGAAACCAACAGGAUUCCCUUUAGGGCCGAAAACUUCUCUUUGGAUCUGUGGAAGGAUACUUUCCGUUCUUGGCCCAGCCCUACUGUAGGAUGGACAGACUGGUUUUUGAGGGUCAGCAACUCAAAUGAAGUCCAGUGGGGUGAGAGGAAGCUAGAUCAAUGCAUUAGGUUGUCCAUUGCCGAUAUGCAUAGAAACGAGUCACUGCUGAUAGCUGCAUCAUACUUCUGGUCAGACACGCUCAAUGCCUUUGUCUUCGGCCACGGCCCUGCUUCCCCUACUCUUGCCGAUGUGGCUAUGCUUACCGGCCUAGAUGUGUCUUCUGCCGAUAGCACUCGUUUUUUCGAAACCAAGCCCAGUGCCAAGGUAGAAACCCGUUCCAUCGGCGGCUUGUCAGGGUAUAUUUAGAAAUAUAGACGGACAGGCCCUGUCAAUGUAAAAGAGCAGACCUGCUUCCUGAACAUGUGGCUAGAUAAGUUCGUGUUUUGCGGGCGAUCGGCAGGACCAACCUCGGUCCACUUAGCAGCAGCUGAAAAUGUGGCCAAUGGUGGCCGAUUUCCCCUUGGCCGAUACCUGCUUGGUGCAGCCUACCACCUCCUUCACCAGGUGACUAGGAAACUCUUGCUUGGUCAGUCUAUCGGCAACUUGGGAGGUACCUGGUGGUUCAUCAACAUGUGGCUCAAUCUCCAUUUGCACAAGCGUCUUUAGUUUGACCUGUUCGUACAGCGUUUCCCAAGGGACAUAGCCGAGAACCACGUGCUGGACGAGGAAGAAUCGGCAACACGUGCCCCUCUGAACUUCGGUGAAGCCGUCAUAGUUCUCCUCGGCUCAGGGGGCAAUGCAGACCAGGUUAGCCGAUUUUUCCAGACCUUGUAUGAAGGUUUUACCAGAGAUGAACGAGCAUGGUUAGCUUAUGAUGACCCAAACUCCAUGUUUCCUCUAGUCUUCAAUCCAUUCAAUGAGGCUCUUGAUACGGAUCAUGAAGUAAAGAUGGCACUGAUCACUCCGAGAGCCAUACCGGUGAAUUUCUUUGGCAGUGGGAAAAAUUCCAUCCAGACCUACGAGUUUUACAACCCAUCAGCACUAGCUCGUCAAUUAGCUUUCGGCCAGCUGCCGAUUGCCCUCUGUUAUGCCGAUGUAGUAAAACCUAGGGAAGCCAUCACCCGUCUCCUUGAAUGGAUCCGAGUGGCUCAACUGCCCUCAAGUGCCGAUACCGACGUAGACCUGUCAGAAUGGGUUCCAGCCGCCUUCAUCACUCAGGCGUACAAGCAGUGGUGGGCAGAAUGGAAGGAACAUCUGUUCUGCAGGUCAGCCCUCACAUAUCGUGGCAUGAUCGACCCCGAAUAUGAAGUUCCUGAUGGCACCGUAAGUACUCCGAACUGAUAUUUCAAUUUUUCAUCCCUUAUUUCCAUCGGUAAUUUACUCUUUGUAUCUUCUUACAGGUCGACAACAUCCCUCCAUCAGUCAGCAGGAGUGGUAAGCCGAUUGAUCUAUUUGCAUCAGGUCCAAUUUCUUCAAUCGGCCAUAACACUCCUAUCCUGGCCGCUAUCGUGCAUCGAGGCGUACGCCUCAAGAAAGUCACCACCAGAAGAACUCAGACAUCACCAUCGGUAGCCGCUUCUGCUCUAGCACAGGCUUUUAAGGUAACAAUUAAACCUCUUCAUUCAUACCGAUCUUACUUUUACAUCGGCUAUAUUGAUAGUCACAGAUUCUCUUUCUCCCCCUUUUUUUGUAACAGCAAACCAAUGCAUCGGCAAGAACCAAGAGCCAAGGUGCCGAUGCCCCCCAGUCCAGCCAGCAAAAGAGAAAGGGUACCAAGAGUACCAGGGCAGAAACAAAGCGCCAGAAAGUGGCAACUCCUCCUCCUCCGGUAUCUCCCAUUCCGGUGGAAUCUUCUCCUUCUCCUCCAGAAGCAGAGACUCAGCAAGCACCAUCUUCCCCUCCAACGCAAGAAGCACUGCAGGUGGAAGAACCUCAACAAGAAGUACCUCAGCCAGAAGACACAUCGGCUGAUGUUCAUGAACCAGCCGCCGAUCCAGCAGGUUCCAUUAUAGCAUCGGUGGUUUCUUCCGUUUAGACAAGUACUGCCCUUCCUCAAGGUAACACAUUUACAAAGUUAAUGCCGAUGAACCUAUUUUUCCAUCUCAUAACCACUUACGUCAAUUUUCAGCUGAUGUAGUUCCAUCGGCAACUUUGGCCGAUCAACCCGUGGCUCCAUCGGCCUCUUCCGGUCAAAGGCAAGAGAUCGCCUUGAAGCAAGUAAGUCACCCAAUCUCCAUCAAUAUUAUUUACCGAUGUUCCGACCAUAGAAUAACUCACUUUGUUUUCCUUUUCAGGAAUAGGAUUCUCCUGACAGCCUAUUCUCCUUCGCUAUUGAUAUCUCCGAGGACGAAGGCGAGGAAGCGAGUUCCUCCCGGGCAGUUGGGAUCGCAUCGGUAGAGAUCAGGGCCAAGCUAGAAGAACUAUCGGCUCUCCUCCAUCAGGAUACGACACAACUGGUCGAUGACUCUGACCCUGCCAGGGUUCUAUUCAAGACUCUCAGAGGCCAGAUUCCUGCCGAUGCCGAGGAAGUCCUUUUUCAGGCCACACACCUGGAAAGUCAUCAGCUGCAGUACCAGAGGGCCACCCGGCGUCUUGCCGAUAGAGCCGCUCAGACCCAGCUUUCUGAGGAGAUGAUGAAGGAGAAGCUCUUGACCGAUGAGAAGCACAAGAACAUCGUUACCUUGAAGUCUUCAGGAGAUGCACUGAAGCAAAAAAUCUCCGACCUAUCGGCAAAACGGGAAGCCCUGUUGGCAGAGAUCAAGCAGGUGGAGGAUGCCUUAUCCCAAGCCCAAUAGGAAGAAAGUCAACUGCCAGAGACUAUCAAGCUUCUUGAACAAGAACGAAACGCCCAUGGUCGCAGAGCUUUGCAGUUGAAAAAGAAACUGAAGCCGAUAGAGGGCUCUGCCGACGACGACGUGAAGGAGAUAGAAGAAGCCAACCAAAUCCGGCUGCGCGCCAUAUCGGCGAUCCAGGCGCUGCUGAACUCAUGAAGCUCUCAUCGGUGACACAUCUUUGCUUCUCUGCAUUUCCAGUUUUCUUGAUGUUUUAGUCUAGCCGAUAGGACUGUUAUUGGCAACUUUUGAAACAUUAAGUCCGGCCCCAGAUACAUUUUAAUCCAGCUGAUAGGAGUGUUAUCGGCAUUUAAAUCUUUAUGCAUCGACCCAUAUGCUGGGGUAGUACUUCUUUAAAUAUUUGCCAUUUAAUGCUCUGGGAAAUUCAACUCCUUCGAGAGUUUCUAAAAUAUAGGCGUUACCAGGAGCCGAUCGUCUUAUCCGAUAGGGACCCUCCCAAUUGGGAGACCACUUCCCAAACUUCGAACUUUUAGUCCCGAUCGGUAAAAUCAAUUUCCAUACCAAGUCUCCAUCGGCAAACUCCUUAGCCUUUACUUUCUUGUCAUACCAUCUAGCAACUCUCUUCUUAUUUUCUUCUAUACUCAUCAAAGCCGUCAGCCGAUGCCCUGCUAGAUCAUCCAACUCGUCUGUCAUCAAAGUAGCAUAAUCAUCGGCAGCCAAUUGAUCUUGAAAAGAUAAUCGCCUAGAUCCAGCCUUAAUUUCCCAAGGCAAUACUGCAUCAUGCCCAUACACCAACUGAUAAGGCGAAACUUUAGUCGAUCUAUGACAAGCCAUCCGGUAUGACCACAAGGCUUCAUUCAACAAUGUAUGCCACUUUCUAGGAUUAUCUUCAAUCUUUCGUUUGAUAAGCUUGAUAAUUCCCUUGUUAGAUGCCUCGGCCUGCCCAUUAGCUUGAGCAUAAUAAGGAGAAGAGUUUAACACUUUAAUUCCCAUAUCGAUUGCGAAUUCGUCAAAUUCCCCUGAUGUAAACAUAGUGCCUUGAUCGGUAGUAAUCGUUUGAGGAAUCCCAAAUCGGUAAAUAAUAUGCUCCUUUACAAAAUCAAUCAUAUUGGUCGAUGUGACUUUCUUCAAAGGAAUAGCUUCGACCCAUUUAGUGAAAUAAUCGGUGGCAACCAGAAUAAACUUAUGCCCUUUGCUAGAUGGUGGAUAAAUCUGGCCGAUCAAAUCAAUAGCCCUUCCCCGGAACGGCCAAGGUUUGAUAAUAGGAUUCAUAGCCGAUGCGGGUGCUCUUUGAAUAUUGCCAAACUUUUGACAGCCUUGACACCCUUUGAAAUACUUAAAGCAAUCCUCAAGUAUGGUCGGCCAGUAAUAUCCAUUCCUCCUAAUCAUCCACUUCAUCUUGAAAGCCGACUAAUGUGCUCCACAUACCCCUUCAUGGAUUUCUCCCAUCAAACUUCUAGCUUCAUCAUCACCCAAGCAUCGGAGAAGAAUCCCAUCAAUAGUUCGGUAAUACAAUUCAUCUUCGAGGAGCACAUACUUAGUAGCUUGAAACCAAACCCGCCUUUCAACUUUCUUAGAUGGAUCUUUCAAAUAGUCAAUGAUCUCUUUUCUCCAAUCAUCGACACCAAUUGCAGACACCGUAUUAAUCAUAGGCUGAUAUCCCGAGGCAUGCUGAGGUAACCGAUUGGCCUCUUCAUUAUGCAGUUGAGGAACAUGUUCUAAUCAGAAGUCUUUGAGCAUCAUAUCGGUCUUGGUUAAGUCCUGAUCCCCUUUUCCAAGCUUCCGAUACACUACAUAUGGCAUGAUGUUGAUAGCAGCCCCACCAUCAAUUAGAAUCUUGGUCAUCGGCUGCCCAUCAACUCUUCCUUUGACAAACAGGGCCUUGAGAUGUUGCCUUUCAUCAUCGGCAGGCUUCUCGAAGAUAGCUGUCAUCGGGUCCAGAGCCAAUUGAGCUAUCUGGUCGGAGAAUUCUAACUCACCAUCACUGGAUGGCGCAAGGAACUCCAUCGGCAACAUAAAGACCAUGUUGACAUCUGCCGACGGACCUUCCCCUUUAGGAUCUGAUUGCUGUUGAUCCCCAGACUGGCCAGAACUCUUGCCCUUGCUUAAACCUUCUCGCCUUUCGCGCUGCAGCCUCCUUUUCUGUGUCCUGGUCAACCCCUCUGGACACCAUGGAGGAAGUUGCUGCUGCCUUGCCACCGGGCGACGACUUUCCCUUGACUCCAUCCGAUGCGUAUUGGCAUCCCUGUAAAAUAUGAACUCGUCGGGGACCCGUGCAUUAGCCAUCUCUUCGAGCUCUUCCUAGUUCCUGGGAAAAUAUUGAACACGAUCACCAAGCCUAUCAUGCACGCUGAGCCUGCCCCCCAGCCGAUCGUGAACAGAUGCUCUUCCUCUGAUCGGCCCAUUAGAUCGCCGAUUAUCAUCGUGAUAGCGCCGAUCGAAUCUAUCAUACCGAUCAUAACCGUUGCACUCAGGGCAAUCUCUAACAGUAGGAAGCUUGAUAUUCUCUUCCCAGCAAUGAAUGAAGAACGGGCAUUCCAGUGAUCCCUGUGCCGAUUCCAUUCUUGCCGGCGCCUUUCCUCUUCCCGACGAUAGUCCUCUUGCUGGCGCCGGUACCGAUCUUCACGUUGUUGCCAAUUCUCCCGAAGUCUUCUGUGGGUUAUAAUGAUGCUAGAUCGGGGAGGCCUCCCUGAGCUGGUACCUUCCUGGACCAAGCCUCUUCCUCUUGCAUCGGCAGUAGUGACCUGAUGCUGAGGAUCCACCGAUGCACUUCUUUCGGCUGCUUCCGAUGUUAAGACCUUGGCCUUUCCCUUAGUAUCGAACAUGUUUGUUGGGAAAGGAUGUUGAUCGAUCUUCAUCGGCUUCUGGGUCUUGGAACUGUCAAAUUUGAUUCUCCCAGACUCUAUAGCCGAUUGCAGCUGCUGUCUGAAAACCUUGCAUUCAUUGGUGUCGUGAGAAGUUGCAUUGUGCCACUUGCAAUAUUUCAUCCUCUUUAACUCCUCGGUCGAUGGGAUGACGUGAUUAGGAGACAGCUUGAUCUGACCUUCCUGAAGUAGAAAGUCAAAUAUCCUAUCGGCCUUAGUGGUGUCAAACGCGAACUUCUCUGGUUCUUUAUGUCCAAAAGGACAAGACAUCGGCUUCUUAUUUUUUACCCACUCUGCCAAGCCGAUGACUGGUUCCUCAUCAGAGUCUGAGCUUGUUGCUUCAUCAACAAAUGAUACCUUCUUGUUCCAUGCUCUUUUGGGUUCGAAAGGCUUGAUAUCUUGAUCAGAAAUCCUCUGCACCAAAUGACUUAAGCUUUCAAACUCCUGAGAGGCAUACUUAUCCCUGAUGUGUGGCAACAAACCCUGGAAAGCCAAAUCGGCUAGCUGCCGAUCAUCCAGAACCAGACUAUAGCAUUUGUUCUUGACCUCCCGUAUCCUCUGCACAAAACUUUCAACCGAUUCAUCGUUGCGUUGCCUUAGUUUGACUAAAUCGGUGAUCGUCUUCUCAUGGACUCCAGAAAAGAAGUAUUUGUGGAAUUGUUUCUCCAGAUCGGCCCAAGUAAUCACUGAAUUGGGAGGCAACGAUAUAAACCAGGUGAAAGCCGAUCCAGACAACGAUGACGAGAAUAAGCGAACCCUAAACUCGUCCCUGUUACCAGCUUCUCCGCAUUGAAUGAUGAACCUGUUGACGUGCUCCAUGGUCGACGUGUCAUCCUGUCCAGAAAACUUGGUAAAAUCCGGUACCUUGUACCGAUGAGGAAGCGGGAUCAAAUCAUAUGCGGGAGGAUACGGUGUCCGAUAAGAGUAAGUAUUGACUUUGGGCUUUAUCCCGAAUUGGUCUCUCAUUACUUCAGCAAUCUUAUCGGCCCAGUACGCAUCGGCAUCUUGCCGAUGGGGCGGUUGCGGAUCUGGCACCUGCUGGUAAGCCUCUGCGUGUCGGUGUGGUGCACGAUGUGCAUGAAACAUUGGGUUAAUCAUCUGGCCCCCAAUCUGUGGACCACCAAGCUGUUGUUCGCCAAUUUGCUGUCCACCGACUUGCUGCCCGAGAUUCAUUGGCUGGUUAGGGAUCCCCUGAUUCUGGAACCCGGGAUAGACCUGUCCUUGCUGGAACCCUGUGGCCUGGUGAUUCUGUUGGGGCGUUUGCGGAAAGACUUGCUGCCCAAGCCAUCCAUUAUUAGCGUUCAUCGGCAUAGGCCCUGCUGAUGACUGGUAAUUGGGCAUCAUCAUUGAACUAACAUACCAUGGUUGAGUCAUAAACCUCUGUUGCACCGGCAUCGAGUCUGCCGAUGCGUUAGGCAUCUGGAACAUUGGAGCUUGAGAAUUCCCAGUGUGAGGCCUUGCAGUAGUAGUUGUAGUAUACCGGGGACUCUGGUUCAUCGGCAUAUUGGGAGGUGCCGAUGCCAUAGGAGUCUUGCCUCUCAUGUCAGUUGUCUGCGAUGUACCCGACGUUAACUCUGGAGGCAUACCAUAACCCCACCAGUUAGGAGGAAGAGUCAAUCCUGACAUUGCCGAUGCCAACAGAUCUGUAGCGAGUUUAAUCUGCCCAUCUGAAGUCUACGGAUUAGUCGUCAUCGGCGUAGAUUGCGUAUUUGUGACUCCCAACGUACUUGGAGGAACAGUAGUUUGUGAACCCGCAGCGGCUGUAGCAGCCGAUGGAGCUGUGACCACCGGUGACCCUGGCUGAUGAUAAGAGGGGCCCACAUAAUCUGGUGGCAAUUGUCCUUCCUUGAAAGUUCUUGCCACGGCAUUGAAAACCGUGUUAGACAAUACGCCAGCUUGGUUGAUCAAAGCAUGGUUGAUAGCGCUGUCAACCAUCUCUUGAAGUUUGCCAUGGUUGGCUUCAAAAGUAACCUGCCGAGGUGUCGGCAGUGCAUCCUUCUGAAUCACCUCACCGCUUCUGUUCAUACUGAAGGACCUCAGGCAUUGCUGCUUGUAAUCCUCCAUGGCCUUAGCAAUAGCUUGCUUCUGCUCAUCCUUGAGAUUGGCUUCCGUCACGGGGAUAACGUUCUCUUGAUCAAACUCAGAGGUUGACAUGUUGAUCUUGAUCUUGAAUCGGUCCCACUGGGCGUGCCAAAAGAUGUGUUGGUGCAAAAGCUGAUCUGCAAACACAAAGGGCUAAUACCCGAUUUAAACGUUAAGGCGUGCCAGCCAAUUUGACCUUACUAUCGGCAAGGAAGGUAACUCGAAUACUUUGGUCCCGACAACAGCGAUGCGCCCGGAUGUCACGGCCAAGAGGUACUCACGCGGAACUCGAGAACACGUCGAGCUUAAGUCGACGAACUCCUAAGAACUCGUAGUAAAAAGGAAAAUAUGACAAAGUCGUCGAAAAAGUAGAUGAUGGAAUAUGAGUAAAAACUUGUGUUUGAUUGAUUGAUAGAUGUCUCAUUACAAGGUCCUAGGGUCUACAUUUAUACCCUGUUCAAAGAGCUACAACCAGACACGACUAGAACUCGAAUUGCAAAUUACACAAAAUCCGUAUACAGAACGAUUUAAAUAACUAAAGAAAAUAUUAAAAUUAUCCCCCCUUGACAAACCGGAACACCUCUACAACCCGAUCGGCAACUCCCAGGCUCUCCCCCUAUAUCAUCGGCAGACUCCCUUAUCGCAGCCAUCGGCACAGGCACAUCAUCAACUAUGGACUUAGUCACGUUCAACCAUCCUUCCAUCGGCAACUCACCCUAUAGACCAAGCACCACCGCCUUACUCUUGCCGAUCCACACCUUACCGAUCAUGGACACGUGCUCAAAAAACGGUGUCAACAACUGUUGAUGCAAAAGGUGAUCUGCAAACACAAAGGGCUAAUACCUGAUUUAAACGUUAAGGCGUGCCAGCCGAUUUGACCUUACUAUCGGUAAGGAAGGUAACUCGAAUACUUUGGUCCCGACAACAGCGAUGCGCCCGGAUGUCACGGCCAAGAGGUACUCACGCGGAACUCGAGAACACAUCGAGCUUAAGUCGACGAAUUCCUAAGAACUCAUAGUAAAAAGGAAAAUAUGACGAAGUCGUCGAAAAAGUAGAUGCUGGAAUAUGAGUAAAAACUUGUGUUUGAUUGAUUGAUAGAUGUCUCAUUACAAGGCCCUAGGGUCUACAUUUAUACCCUGUUCAAAGAGCUACAAUCAGAUACGACUAGAACUCGAAUUCCAAAUUACACAGAAUCCGUAUAGAGACCGAUUAAAUAACUAAGGAAAAUAUAAAAUUAUCCCCCCGUAACAAACUGGAACACCUCCUCAAACCGAUCGACAACUCCUAGGCUCUUCCCCUAUAUCAUCGGCAGACUCCCCUAUCGCAGCCAUCGGCACAGGCACAUCAUCACCUAUGGACUCAGUCACGUUCAACCAUCCUUCCAUCGGCAACCAUCUCCAUCGGCAACCUACCCUGUAGACCAAGCACUACCGCCUUAUCUUGCCGAUCUACACUUUACCGAUCAUGGACACGUGCCCAAAAAUGGUGUCAACACAUGCCCCCCAAUUUCGGAGUAUGAAAUCAUUAAUGCUCCAAAAUUCUCUGCAGUAAUGAUGCCUUUUUCCGCAAUUAAUGCUCCUAAUCUGGCAACCGACAGCCUUAAUCUGAACAACUCUGAUCCUAUCCUUCCGCAGAUCCCUCGAAAUCCUCAACUUCCCUAAACGGACAUUUCCAUUUUAGUCGCGCAUCGGCAAUAUUACCGUUACUGGGACUUGCCGAUGUACUGACCAGGACACCCGUAUCUUAUCUUCCCAAACGGCUAUCUCGACUUUAUUCGCUCAUCGGCAAUAUGACCGUUACAAGACGCUGCCGAUGGACCGACCAGGAGAUCCCGCACAGUAAAAUAUCUCUGGAUAAUGACCACUUCCUGUCAAAUCGCCUGCACAAUCCCUUGAUUACCGUACGAACAGUUACCAUAUCUUCCUGAGUACCCUCGGAUUUCACGGAUACGGCGAAGAGAUAAGUCAAUUUUGCCCUUGCCCGUUUUGUCCUAUAAAUAGUUCCUUCUCGGGUACUCCUCCUCCAUCACAUCAUUCCACCACUCCAACCUUACUUUCCCAGCGGCGGCGCCUUUCAAGGUCUCCAAGAUCCCCGACGAAGCCUCUUCUUCACCAACUCCGGAGCCCCCGAUCGUCCUCCCGAGACAAGAUGGCCGUCAACUUCAUUGUCCCGGAGGUCAGUUCUUCACUCCAUCUUCCGUACUUUUUCUCGCACCCCUGUUCAUCCGCAAUCCAUCUUACUGAAUAUUUCUUUUUUUCUUUCUUUGUUUUUCCUUCUCUACCUCCAAAACCACUAGGAAUUGUCCAAUAAAAUUGUCAUCCCCACCGAUCAACCACAUCUCCAAUGCCUUGGCCCAUUAGGGGAUCCAGAUCCAACCAAUCUCAUUAACAUAGAAACCAAUAGGAUUCCUUUUAGGGCCGAGAACUUUUCUUUGGAUCUAUGGAAGGACACCUUCCGUUCCUGGCCUAGCCCUACUGUAGGAUGGACAGAUUGGUUUUUGAGGGUCAGCAACUCAAAUGAAGUCCAGUGGGGUGAGAGAAAGCUAGAUCAAUGCAUUAGGUUGUCCAUUGCCGAUAUGCAUAGAAACGAGUCACUGCUGAUAGCUGCAUCAUACUUCUGGUCAGACACGCUCAAUGCCUUUGUCUUCGGCCAUGGCCCUGCUUCCCCUACUCUUGCCGAUGUGGCUAUGCUUACCGGCCUGGAUGUGUCUUCUGCCGAUAGCACUCACUUUUUCGACACCAAGCCUAGUGCCAAGGUAGAAACCCGUUACAUCGGCGGCUGGUCAGGGUAUAUUCAGAAAUAUAGACAGACAGGCCCUAUCAAUGUAAAAGAACAGACCUGCUUCCUGAACAUGUGGCUAGAUAAGUUCGUGUUUUGCGGGCGAUCGGCAGGACCAACCUCGGUCCACUUAGCGGCAGCUGAAAAUCUGGCCAAUGGUGGCCGAUUUCCCCUCGGCCGAUACCUGCUUGGUGCAGCCUACCACCUCCUUCACCAAGUGACUAGGAAACUCUUGCUCGGUCAGUCUAUCGGGAACUUGGGAGCUCCCUGGUGGUUCAUCAACAUGUGGCUCAAUCUCCAUCUGCACAAGUGCCUUGAGUUUGACCUGUUCGCACAGUGUUUUCCAAGGGACAUAGCCGAGAACCACGUGCUGGACGAAGAGGAAUCAGCAACACGCGCUCCCUUGAACUUUGGCGAAGCUGUCAUAGUUCUGCCUGGUACAGAGGGUAAUCCAGAUCAGGUCAGCCGAUUCUUCCAAACCUUGUAUGAGGGUUUGGCCAGAGAUGAGCGAGCAUGGUUGGCCUAUGAUGACCCAGACAGUAUGCUUCCCCUGGUUUUCAACCCGUUCAACGACGCUCUUGACAAGGACAACAAAGUGAUGAUGGCAUUAGUAACUCCCAGAGCCAUACCGGUGAACUUCUUUGGUAGUGGGAAAACCUCCCCCAGACUUAUGAAUUCUACAAUCCAUCGGCACUAGCUCGUCAGUUAGCUUUCGGCCAGCUACCGAUUGCACUCUGCUACGCCGAUGUGAUAAAGCCUAGGGAAACCAUCACCAGCCUCCUUGAAUGGAUUCGAGUAGCCCAACUGCCAUCGGGUGCCGAUACAGACGUAGAUUUAUCGGAGUGGGUGCCAGCCGCCUUCAUCACUCAGGCAUACAAGCAGUGGUGGGCAGAAUGGAAGGAGCAUCUGUUCUGCAAAUCGGCGCUCACGUACCGCGGUAUGAUCGAUCCUGAGUACGAAGUCCCCAACGAUACUGUAAGUGUCUUCAAACCGAUGUUUCAAUCCUCCCAAUUUUGUUUCCAUUGGUGAUUUACUUUUGUACCAUUUUGCAGGAUGAUAACACCCCUCCAUCGGUCAGUAGAAGUGGCAAGCCGAUUGAUCUGUUUGCAUCAGGUCCCAUUUCCUCAAUCGGCCACAACGCUUCUACCUUGGCCGCUAUUGUGCAUCGAGGCAUACGCCUCAAGAAAGUCACCACCAGGAGAACUCAGACAUCACCAUCGUUAGCUGCUUCCACUCUAGCACAGGCUUUUAAGGUAACUAUUAAACCUCUUCAUUCACACCGAUCUUACUUUUACAUUGGCUGUAUUAGUACUCACAAAUUCUUUUUUUUAACAGCAAACCAGUGCAUCGGCAAGAACCAAGAGCCAAGGUGUCGAUGCCCCCCAGUCCAGCCAGCAAAAGAGAAAGGGUGCCAAGAGUACCAGGGCACAAACAAAGCGCCAGAAAGUGGCGAUUCCUCCUCCUCCUCCUCCGGUAUCUCUCAUUCCGGUGGAAUCUUCUCCUUCCCCUCCAGAAGCAGAGACUCAGCAAGUAUCAUCUCCCCCUCAACCGCAAGAAGCACCAGAAACAGAUGAGCCCCAGCAAGAAGAACCCCAAGUAGAAGCACCCCAGCCAGAAGACACAUCAGCCGAUGUGGGCGAACAAACUACUGAUCCGGCAUGUUCAAUCAUAUCAUCGGUAGUUUCUUCAAUCCAGACAAGCAUCGUCCCUCCUCAAGGUAACACAUUUUUAUAACAUCACCGCCGAUGAACUCAUUCUUUUUCAGUCUCAUAACCCCUUCUGUCAAUCUUCAGCUGACAUAGUUCCAUCGGCAACUCCGGCCGAUCAACCCGUGGCUCCACCGACGUCUUCCAAUCAAAGGCAAGAGAUUGCCUUGAAGCAAGUAAGCCACCCAAUCUCCACCAAUACUUGUCGAUAUCCUGACCAUAGAAUGACUCACCUUGUUUUCCCUUCCAGGGACAGGAUUCUCCCGACAGCCUAUUCUCCUUUGCCAUUGACAUCUCCGAAGACGAAGGUGAGGAAGCAAGUUCUUCCCGGGCAGUUGGGAUCACAUCGGCAGAGACCAAGGCCAAGCUAGAAGAACUAUCGACCCUCCUCCAUCAAGACAUAGCUCAACUGGUUGAUGACUCUGACCCGGCCAAGGUUCUGUUCAAGACUCUCAGAGACCAGAUUCCUGCCGAUGUUGAAGAAGCCCUCUUCCUGGCCGCACAUCUGGAGAGUCGCCAGCUGCAGUACCAGAGGGCCGCCCGACGCCUUGCCGAUAGAGCUGCUUGUUGACACUUGCUAACACCACUUGAAUACUAGGUUGUCAUCCCCAGCAUGGCACUAGAGUGUACUAUGGUAUUUAUACGCACACAGAUAAUCCGCAAGCGCACGGAUACCGUUGAAGCUUUUACCCGGUUAAAGGUUUUAUCGUAUCCACAGGGAAACGGGAGAACCAACUACGCUCUAACUAAACCAAGAUAGAUAGAUAGGUGUAAAUAGGAAAGAUGAUAGAAUCGAAUAAGAACAAUAUUAAAGGUAAGAUAACAGUGAGUGAUAAUAUGGGAAUAGAGAAUAGAGCAAUUCUAGUAUAUGGGCGAUGGUAGCAGAAUAGAGAGGAUAACUAUGGUUUCUCUACUUCAAAGGGGUAUGUCUAUGUCUGGGACGAACCACGUGAUAAGAGUACACCACAAAGGAUGCUUAUCCAUAGGCCGAUAAACCCUACCCGUCCUGCUAACGAGAGGUGGACUACAGGGGACCAACGUAACUGUCACUUACGCGGCCUACCACACGAUCCAGCUAGUCAGGGGAUAUCCACAAGUAAUCUAGGUCUAAGCACCACGCUUACACCUAUACUACAACUCUAACCUAUAGGGUCCUAUAGAUUAGAAGUACUCAAAAGAGUUGUGAACCAGAACAUACAUGAUUAGUAAUUGCAUAAUAAAUUAGAAGUAGAUUACCAGAGUCAUCCCAAGAGCAAGCUUGAUUAGAGCUUGAUCAUGGUGAAGUACAACCGGAGGAAGAACCGACAGGCCGGCCUCUCCUCUAAUCCUCCUUCGCUCUCCAUCUCGCUACUAUCUAGAUCUACUCUUGUUUAGAGAAGAGAGGAGAGCUCUCAUCUCUAAACCCUAGCUUUUGCUCUGUCUAUGAAUAAUGAAUAAUGAUCAAGGGGUGUCUCCUCCAGGGGCCAGGGGGUCUGGUUUUAUAGUCCCCUCAAGUGAACCUGGGCCGUCGGAUCAAACCGACAUUGAUUGAACGGUUAUUCUUGAUCCUUUAGGUCGGUGGAGCAUAAUCCGUGAGAUUGAGCGUGAUUGGCCACAGGAGGUGGGCGGGCGCCCAGUAGGACAGGGCGGGCGCCCUGUCUCUGGCCCCGAUUCGCCUCCGCUUCGGUCUCGUGGCUUCUGGAGUCUUCUAGAUGUAAGAUAAUUGCACGACACGUUAAUAUCUUUACGUAAUCCUGACGUGUGGGCCUUUCUUCCUUAUUUCCUGAUAACCCCCUGCAGAAAUAGACAAACACCAAAACUCGUGGAAUUCUGUCAGAUAAAUCCCUAAGUCUGGAUGUUGAUUUCAUUUGGAUCCUUUUCUUUAUUUAUUUGAUAAUUAAAUUUGAUACUUAAGGACCGUCAACAAACUCCCCCAAGCUUACCUCUUGCUCGUCCCUGAGCAAGGAUAGACUCAGCAAUGGAUCAGAAGUUGUUGCAAUAUCUUUAAAAAUUGACGGUACACAUGCUUUUAAAUGAGGUCUCAUCUCUGAGUUAGAGUAAACUGUCAAGACUUAAAACUUACUUACUUUACCUUUCACCAUGGGACUUGUAACCGUCACUUCUGUCUUGAGUGGUUAAAAGAUAGAACAGUCCCGUCAAGUGCCAUGUCUCUUAUUCUUGAUCAGCUAUAGCUCUGGAGUUUUUGCAGAUUUUCAAAUAAAACUCAAAGAUUCCUUUGUAUGACUCUCUCAUAUCUCUCUUUUGUGGUAUUUCUGGAUCCUUACCAAGGCAGUGAUGGUAUAUGCCUUCUCUCAAAAUAUGUGGUAUUUGUGGUAUAAGGCAUAGUGACAUUGCCUUCUCUCUCACCCUACUCUAAUAAGGCUUUAAUAUCUGGAGCUCAUAGGUGGGAGAUAAAGUAUACAUACUUACAAGACAUUUAUUGUAUAGUCAAACCAUGGAUCCAAAGAAACAAAUCAAUAAGCCAAAUCAAGAUGUGCAUGUGUGGCGAAUGAAUGGUGUAUAGUGAUAAUGGUGAUAACAAUGGUGAAAGUCUAAUUCUACUUUUGCUCUUAUGAGGGGAUACAUACCUUCCUUGCUUUUUGAAACUUUAUGAGGAGAAUGAGAUGCUCUUCUUUUUCUUUCCUCUCAGGUGGGUAUCUUGUACCCCUAAUUCUACUGUCGGACACUUGUCCAUUUUUACCACUCGUCUCACUUUUUUUUUCUUUCGAGGUUCCGGGCACUUGCCCCUUUUUAUUUCCUCGUUUAUUAUUAUUAUUUUUUCUUCCUUUUUUUUUCAGAGCACUCAUCUCUUGAGAUAAUAUAGCAAGUGGUAGUAGCAAGAUAACUUGAGCAUUUAUUUCACAAGGGAAAAACACAGAUGUUUUUGGCUAUUCUCUCCCGAAUUAGGAGUAGAAUAUUUUUAGGUGAUUCUGGAGAUGGAAAUGGAUGGAUAUAUGUGGAUGGUACUUCCGGAGUAGAAGUAGCAUAUAUAUGAGUGAACGUGCAAGUGAAUCUUGAUUUAACCACAUGACAAGCUCCUAAGGGUCUACACAGCUUGACCACACUCAAUGCUCAUAAGCAGUAAAGCAGUAAAUAAAUGUGUGGCUCAAAGUCUAGCAACGUAUAUAUGGCUGUGGUAGGAAUUUAAACUUUCAUCAUACAGGAACUCAUCAUGCAAUAUUUUAAAGAGUUUUCAAAGAUAAAAUUCUCCAGAAUUCUAGCAUCUCUAGGAAUAGAUAAACAGCAGCUCAACCUUCCCAUAUCAUAUCCGUUAACAACUUAGAUUUCAGAUCAAGUUUUCAUCCCACAAGUUUAGAUCUAGAGCAAGCUUUAAAUUAUAACAGUUAUGUCUAAACUUGAGAGAGAACUUCAAAUUUGCAAAUUAGGCAUUGCAACUAUUCAUCAUAUCCAUGCUAGAGUUUUAUUAUUAAGAUUCAUAGCAAACUUUAUUUAUUUAUCUAUUUAUUUAUUUAUUUAUCAAACUAAGAAAAGAUAUAUAUAUAUAUAUAUAAGCAUAAAAUCUUUAUUUGAUUUUUCAUAGUUUAUGUAUUUUAAUAUUCUAAUAUAAUAUAAGUAUAAAGAUAGGUAGAAAUACUUAGCGAGAUAAAUAGGGGUGCUCUCCCCCAAGCUGAAUUUUGACGUAAUUUCUCUUGAUGUAGCUAGCAGGUGGCAGAGGUGUAUUUGAAAGUCAGCAGCAUUCUGACAGCGAUUAGAAUGUCCUCUGUCUGCUAGUCUUCUUGAUUCUUAAAUUCUGUGGAGCUCAAAUAGACAACAAAGCUUGUGGAACUAAUUGAGUGUUAGCAUAAAUAUCUAGCCUUCAUCACGUUGAGCUUCCUCAAUAAAUAUUACUCCCUGUUUUUAUAUUUUUAUUUUAUAAAGUAGAAAAGAAAUAUUUAUUUUAUUUUUAUGCCACCACAGUGAAGGUACUUAUGGGUUUUAUGCCACUCGUAUACUCACCUGGGGCUUAGUAUUUUUUUAACAUUUUUAUUUUCUUUUCAAGAUAGCAUGAUUAACUAAUAAUCUAUUUAAGGCAAGUAAAUAAUUAAAGAGAAAAGAGAAUGCAGAAAGAAUAAAUAUGGAUAACUACCAAUCUUACCUUUCGGCGAGGGUUCAAUGUUUUAAGUCUUCUUGACAAGACUUCUCACCGUGUUCAUUCUUCAGGUGCGUCAUUUGAUUCAGGUGCGGACCUUGACGUCUGCACCUUUUAAUACAGUGUCACCCAUGUUCUUCGUUUGCCCAGCAGUUCGAAGUGAGGUGUUAGCAGUAUCUUGCUCAGUGUGUUUGUGCUCGUAGUGUACCUGCUCAUAGAGACAAGGCAGAGAUCAAGUGCAUGGGCCCUGUUGGUGGAAAACACCAACAGAACCAAAAGUGUAUUUGUUCUUCUCUAAUCUUAAGCAUAGUGAGCAAGACAAAGUUGAGGGAUGAUAAGUUCAUGAGUGUAGCACUUAUAACAUUUGUCAGAUCAGAUCGCUCAACCUUAUGGAAAGAUAAUCUAUCUAUGUAUAUGUCUUUUUCUUUAUAUCUCUCAAUGAUUGAAUGUGUAACAUUUUAGCUCAUAUGAUUAGGAGUGUGGGAUCAUGGAGGUAGUACUAAGAACAAGGAUUAAAGGACUAAACAUGUUGAAUCAGUUGGGUUGGUUAAUCUAGAGUUGUAAAUCAUACACGUU
rnacentral:lncRNA from 1 species